rnacentral:misc_RNA from 1 species
AGUGUUUACUUUUCAAAAAUCUUCAUUAUUUUCAUAGCAGUUCAACUAUAAUGUCACACUCAUGAAAGACAGAAAUAACUCAUACUAUAAUCCAAAUACAUGUAUACACUUCUAUUUAAAUUGUCAAGUUGAAUUUCAUGUUUGCCGUAAUUCGAACUUAAGAUGCUUUUAAAAUUACGGAUGUAGAUACGGAUGUUUAAACUUUACAUUGAAUCAAUCAUAAAGUGUGUCCUAUUUUUUACAUUCUUUUUAUGGCGGGUUUUCAUUGCCUAUGAACUUUCAUCAUGUAGAGUCGGCAGAGCUGUCUUGAUGUACUAUUUGAUGCAUUUCUAAUUUGGGAUAAAGAUGCCCAAACACAAUCACACAGCGGGCACGUAGCAUCGUUUUUGAAAGGGGGAAGACUCGACCAAAAAAUCUUGACAAGCAAAACAAAAAAACAAAAACAAAAAAAAGGAAAAUAGGCCUCUUUCAUAAGUCUGAAAAUCCUAAUCCGGGGGGGGGGGGGGAUAUCCCAAUUUCACAAUUUAUCUUCAAUUUCACUGCUUUCUUCCUUAUUUUCAAUUCAAUUUUUUAAUGGCCCCAUAAAAAAGGGGGGGGGGGUUGGCAUCUCCAUGUAAAUUGAUUUUUUAUCUGUAAAUUUCAGAUGCUACGUGCCUGCACAGAUAUGAUAAACCCUUUUAGGAAGCCAUUGUCUUUGCCAUUUAUACUUGUAUAACAUUGGUGUCUAUUUAUUUCUUAUUUGGUCUACAGUAUAUAUAAGUAACUUUACAGGACAAUCUGUAAAUUUUCAUGUGCUAUGAGUAGUUUCUUCUUUCUUACCGUCCAUAUAAAAGUGUAAGACUACUUUGGUC